rnacentral:rRNA from 1 species
CCGUCUGUUGCCACCACGAAAGGUAGGGGACGUCAGGCGGGACCGCCGGUGACAAACCGGAGGAAGUGGGGACGACGUCAAGUCAUCAUGGCCCUUAUGUCCUGGGCCACACACGUGCUACAAUGGCCGGUACAGAGCGCAGCGAGGCCGCGAGGCGGAGCGAAUCGCUUAAAGCCGGUCCCAGUACGGAUUGGAGUCUGCAACCCGACUCCAUGAAGUUGGAAUCGCUAGUAAUCGCGCAUCAGCAUGGCGCGGUGAAUACGUUCCCGGGCCUU